rnacentral:rRNA from 1 species
AUUGAACGCUGGCGGCAGGCCUAACACAUGCAAGUCGAGCGGAUGAAGGGAGCUUGCUCCUGGAUUCAGCGGCGGACGGGUGAGUAAUGCCUAGGAAUCUGCCUGGUAGUGGGGGAUAACGUCCGGAAACGGGCGCUAAUACCGCAUACGUCCUGAGGUAGAAAGUGGGGGAUCUUCGGACCUCACGCUAUCAGAUGAGCCUAGGUCGGAUUAGCUAGUUGGUGGGGUAAAGGCCUACCAAGGCGACGAUCCGUAACUGGUCUGAGAGGAUGAUCAGUCACACUGGAGGUGAGACACGGUACAGACUCCGACGGGAGGCAGCAGUGGGGAAUAUUGGAAGAUGGGCGAAAGCCUGAUCCAGCGAUGCCGGGUGUGUGAAGAAGGUCUUCGGAUUGUAAAGCACUUUAAGUUGGGAGGAAGGGCAGUAAGUUAAUACCUUGCUGUUUUGACGUUACCAACAGAAUAAGCACCGGCUAACUUCGUG